UACGUAGGUGGCAAGCGUUGUCCGGAUUUACUGGGCGUACAGGGAGCGUAGGCGGUUCGGUAAGCCCUUUGUGAAAUCUUCAGGCUUAACCUGGAACAGUCGGAGGGGACUGCCGGGCUAGAAGACGGGAGAGGAACGCGGAAUUCCCGGUAUAGCGGUGAAAUGCGUAGAGAUCGGGAGGAAGGCCGGUGGCGAAGGCGGCGCUCUGGAACGUUUCUGACGCUGAGGCUCGAAAGCGUGGGGAGCCAACAGG
rnacentral:rRNA from 1 species